AAAAACAAAACCAAGAUUCUAUAAAGAAGUGAAAACAAAUGAACAUGGAGAAUUCAAAGUGAAACUACCUUUCUUAGUGAAGAAACAUGUGAAGAGAAUCAAAGGGUGUAAUUUUAAGUUGUUAAGUAGUAAUGAACCAAAUUGUGCUAUAGCCUCAACUUCUACUUCAUCUUCACUAAGCCUAAAGAAAAAGUUGCAACAAGAACACAUUUUUUCAGCUGGGAUUUUCUCAUUCAAGCCUAUAAAAAAACCAAAAUUUUGUGACAAAAAACAUAGUAUUCAUAACCUUAAGAAACAACAUAGUUAUGUGAAAAAUUUGGAACAAUCAAAAUUUUCAAGCAAAAAUAAAGUACCUAAUGAAGUUGAAGAUUUCUUCUUUUUUCCUCCAAACCCUUUUUUUCCACCACCUAUUAUCCCUAAUCCACUUCAACCUCCACCUUUGAUUCCUAACCCUUUGCAACCACCACCUUUGAUUCCAAAUCCAUUUCAACCACCAAGUCCACCCUUGAUUCCUAAUCCAUUUCAACCACCAAGUCCACCACUUAUUCCAAAUCCAUUUCAACCUCCUCCAUCAAAUCCACCACUUAUUCCUAAUCCAUUUCAACCUCCCCCAGCAAGUCCUCCACCACUCAUUCCAAAUCCAUUUCAGCCUCCACCAUCAAGUCCACCAC
rnacentral:lncRNA from 1 species